AAGGUCGUCAGCUCUACUUUGUUGCCAACGCAACAUCAGGUACGCCCAGGAGUCCCCUCGACACUGUCUUGCACUGUCGCUUGCUUGUCACCAUGGCAUCCUCUCUGAUGCUGUUUGCAAACCCCUAUCCAGGUUUUGGCUCUGCCGCAGUGACAUCACUGCACAGCACUGCCACCACCACCUUGUUUUUGCUCGGUGGACCUCAAAGGUUGAAGCCCGCGACACUCUUCUGGCCGCAACAUAGUCUGCACCCAGGCUCACCGACCCAGACCACCCAGUGGUGUGCGACCCUGGCCUUUGAUAAAGUUGUUGUGGUGCUGCUUGGGCCAGAGUGCUAAAUCACCAAAGGUGCAACCCCUUGGUGCACAUAAAUGUGCAGCUCAAUGGCAAAUAUGGCCAACAUGGACGAAGGCCUGACAGACCACCAACUCUGAAUCUUCCCUUUGGGUGAUUGUGUGACACUGGGCGAUGGAUUUAUGCUCUGGAUCUCCUUUGUCCUUCUGUAAAAUGGAGUUGCUAUCAUGGCUAUCUUAUAGGACUGUGGUGAGGACACACACGACAGUGCAGUAAGCCCCAGCAGAGGAAACGACGUGGGAGAGCCAUCCCAGUCCUCAAAGGUCAGCACUUUCAUCCUUCUGGAGAGGCACAAACCUGCUCUCAGCUGCCAGGCUGCACCCAGUCCCAGGAAGGCAAGAGAUAUGGAGGUGUCUGGCUU
rnacentral:lncRNA from 1 species